rnacentral:rRNA from 1 species
AUGGCCACAAGGAGGCCACUUGAGCUACUUCACAUGGAUCUUUUUGGUCCCAACUCUUACAAGAGUCUCGGUGGAAAUUCUUUUGGUCUAGUUAGAGUUGAUGAUUUUUCAAGAUUUACGUGGGUGUUCUUUCUCGAUGAUAAAUCGCAGGUCCAAAAGAUCUUCAAAAACUUCGCUAGGAAGGCCCAAAAUCAAUUUGAAGUGAAGAUCAAGAAGGUUCGCAGCGACAACGGAACGGAGUUCAAGAACGCAAAUGUGGACACCUUUCUUGACGAAGAAGGGAUUUCACACGAGUUCUCGGCUACGUACACACCUCAACAAAAUGGAGUUGUUGAGAGGAAGAACCGGACGCUCAUCAAAAUGGCGAGAACGAUGCUUGAUGAGUACAAGACGCCGAAGCACUUUUGGGCGGAAGCGGUUGAGACAGCUUGUCAUGCAACAAAUCGCUUGUAUCUUCACAAGCUACUCGGCAAGACGGCAUACGAGCUCCUCACCGGUAACAAACCCCAAGUUGGAUACUUUUGA